rnacentral:rRNA from 1 species
GUCUAAAGGGUCCGUAGCCGGUUUAAUCAGUCUUCUGGGAAAUCUAAUCGCUUAACUAUUAGGCUUCCAGGGGAUACUGUUAGACUUGGGACCGGGAGAGGUAAGAGGUACUGCAGGGGUAGGAGUGAAAUCUUGUAAUCCCUGUGAGACCACCAGUGGCGAAGGCGUCUUACCAGAACGGGUCCGACGGUGAGGGACGAAAGCUGGGGGCACGAACCGGAUUAGAUACCCGGGUAGUCCCAGCUGUAAACGAUGCUCGUUAGGUGUCAGGAACGGUGCGACUGUUUCUGGUGCCGAAGGGAAGCCGUGAAACGAGCCACCUGGGAAGUACGGCCGCAAGGCUGAAACUUAAAGGAAUUGGCGGGGGAGCACUACAACGGGUGGAGCCUGCGGUUUAAUUGGACUCAACGCCGGAAAACUCACCGGGGGCGACAGCAAUAUGUAGGUCAGGUUAAAGGUCUUACCUGAAUCGCUGAGAGGAGGUGCAUGGCCGUCGUCAGUUCGUACUGUGAAGCAUCCUGUUAAGUCAGGCAACGAGCAAGACCCGUGCCCACUGUUACCAGCAUAUCCUUUAUGGAUGAUGGGGACUCUGUGGGGACCGCUGCUGCUAAAGCAGAGGAAGGUGCGGGCUACGGUAGGUCAGUAUGCCCCGAAUCUCCCGGGCUACACGCGGGCUACAAUGGUUGGGACAAUGGGUAUCUACUCCGAAAGGAGUUGGCAAUCUCUUAAACCCAAUCGUAGUUCGAAUUGAGGGCUGUACUCGCCCUCAUGAAGCUGGAAUCCGUAGUAAUCGCGUUUCAACAUA